rnacentral:sRNA from 1 species
GUUUAGCCCCGAUUGAAGCGGCAUCCUUGGAGCAUAGCGGAAAGAUAUAGCGAAAAGCGGGAACAAAC